GAGAAAAUGAAAGAUACAAAAAUUAACUCAAAUUCAAAAUCACUACUCGUCCCUCACUUCCCCGUCCGUGCCCAAAAUUCCACUCAGAUUCAAUCGAUUUUACCCUAUUUUGUUGUCCCUACAACCAAACACGUACAAUCGAAGGGUGCAAUUUCUUUCCUUGUUCUAUCAAUCAUCGAUUUUGUUUUACAGAAACUUUUUAACCUAGCCCAGUGCUAAAGCUGUUUGCCAAGAAGGAAAACUGGUGCCAGAUUUGGGUUCGAGUAAAAACUGAUAGAUACCUGUUUUAACCGAAGCUGUUGAAGGAAGCACAAAGUCGGUGUUUAAAGUUUGGAAUCAACGCUUCGAUUAUCAAAGUUUGUCGUUUCCCUCUGAGUGUUAGCAGUCUACUGCGUUAAUAUGGAUCCAGAGGCUUCUAGAAAUGCUCGAGAAUCGUUGGAACUGGCUUUUCAAAUGUCAAACAUUCUGGAAACAGGGUUGGAUCGCCACACACUUUCAGUCCUCGUUGCUCUUUGUGAAAAGGGCUUGAAUCCCGAGUCACUUGCUGCACUUGUCAAGGAGCUCAGAAGGGAACCACAAACUAACCCUACUACAACACCUGCAGCUCCCACAUGUCCCUGAUCAGGUGAUUUUGGGUGAAGUUGAAAAGCUAUCAUAUUGGAAGGGUCUAUUUGCAUUCAGCCCCGUGAUUAUUAUCACUGGAGUUAUAAUUUCGUGGAAUUUCAUUGUAUUUGUAGAAGUUGUAAGCUCAGGACGCAUGCUUACUUGGAUCAUUAGAGAAUGGUCUCAAUGUCCUCUUGAACACUUAAGUUGUAUGAAGCGCACCCCAGUUAUUGCUGUGGAUGAGCCUUUGAAGGGACUAGAGGCAGGGAAUUUUUCUCGUGGGGUGGUGACCAUGCGAUGCGAUAUGUCAACUUGCAGCAAGAUGUUACUAAUGGAAAGAUACGAGUAGCUGAGAUUGAACUUGAAGAAGCUAGAGAAGCUUUUAAUGAUGACCCGAAGAACUGCUGAUGGAAAUGUCAAUGUUGAUUCUGCUGAUCUGAACCAGACGAUGCCGAAGGAGAUUAAAUGCUCUGUGUAAGUCGGAUGAUAAAUUACAUUCUUACUUGCAAGUUUUGAACUGCACUUGUUAAUUGAAUUUU